GAUGAACGCUGGCGGUAGGCCUAACACAUGCAAGUCGAACGGCAGCACAGUAAGAGCUUGCUCUUACGGGUGGCGAGUGGCGGACGGGUGAGGAAUACAUCGGAAUCUACUUUUUCGUGGGGGAUAACGUAGGGAAACUUACGCUAAUACCGCAUACGACCUACGGGUGAAAGCAGGGGAUCUUCGGACCUUGCGCGAUUGAAUGAGCCGAUGUCGGAUUAGCUAGUUGGCGGGGUAAAGGCCCACCAAGGCGACGAUCCGUAGCUGGUCUGAGAGGAUGAUCAGCCACACUGGAACUGAGACACGGUCCAGACUCCUACGGGAGGCAACAGUGGGGAAUAUUGGACAAUGGGCGCAAGCCUGAUCCAGCCAUACCGCGUGGGUGAAGAAGGCCUUCGGGUUGUAAAGCCCUUUUGUUGGGAAAGAAAAGCAGCAGGUUAAUACCCCGCUGUUCUGACGGUACCCAAAGAAUAAGCACCGGCUAACUUCGUG
rnacentral:rRNA from 1 species